GAUGAACGCUGGCGGCGUGCCUCAAACAUGCAAGUCGAGCGGGGCUAUGUAAUAUCGCAAGGUAGAACAUAGCCUAGCGGCGAACGGGUGAGUAACACGUGGGUAACCUGCCUGGAAGACAGGGAUAACGAUUCGAAAGGGUCGCUAAUACCUGAUAAUAUCCUUUCAUCGCAUGGUGAUAGGAAGAAAGGGGAAACCCGCUUUCAGAUGGGCCCGCGUCCCAUCAGCUAGUUGGUAAGGUAAAGGCUUACCAAGGCGACGACGGGUAGCCGGUCUGAGAGGAUGUACGGCCACACUGGGACUGAGAUACGGCCCAGACUCCUACGGGAGGCAGCAGUUGGGAAUCUUAGGCAAUGGACGAAAGUCUGACCUAGCGACGCCGCGUGAGGGAAGAAGGCCUGGUUGUAACUCUGUCAUGGGGAAGAAGUAAGUGACGGUACCCCAAGAGGAAGCCCUGCUAACUACGUG
rnacentral:rRNA from 1 species